CAAUAGCGUAUAUUAAAGUUGUUGCAGUUAAAAAGCUCGUAGUUGAAUUUCGGGGUUAGUAGGUUGGUCAUGCCUCUGGUAUGUACUGGUCUCACUGAUUCCUCCUUCCUGAUGAACCGUAAUGCCAUUAAUUUGGUGUUGCGGGGAAUUUGGACUGUUACUUUGAAAAAAUUAGAGUGUUUAAAGCAAGCUAACGCUUGAAUACAUUAGCAUGGAAUAAUGAAAUAGGACGUUCGAUCCUAUUUUGUUGGUUUCUAGGAUUGACGUAAUGAUUAAUAGGGAUAGUUGGGGGCAUUAGUAUUCAAUUGUCAGAGGUGAAAUUCUUGGAUUUAUUGAAGACUAACUACUGCGAAAGCAUUUGCCAAGGAUGUUUUCAUUAAUCAAGAACGAAAGUUAGGGGAUCGAAGACGAUCAGAUACCGUCGUAGUCUUAACCAUAAACUAUGCCGACUAGGGAUCGGAUGAUGUUAAUUUUUUAAUGACUCAUUCGGCGCCUUACG
rnacentral:rRNA from 1 species